rnacentral:rRNA from 1 species
AACGAACGCUGGCGGCAUGCCUAACACAUGCAAGUCGAACGAUUGCCCUCGGGUGAUAGUGGCGCACGGGUGCGUAACGCGGGGGAAUCUGCCCUUAGGUUCGGAAUAACAGCUGGAAACGGCUGCUAAUACCGGAAGAUAUCGCGAGAUCAAAGAUUUAUUGCCUGAGGAUGAGCCCGCGUUGGAUUCGGUAGUUGGUGGGGUGAAGGGCUACCAAGCCGACGAGCCAUAGCCGGUAUGAGAGGAUGAGCAGACACACUGGGACUGAGACACGGUCCAGAAUCCUACGGGAGGCACGCGUGGGGAAUAUUGGACAAUGGGCGCAAGCAUGAAGCAGCUAUGCCGGGAGAGUGAUGAAGUCCCUAGGGUAGUAAAGCACUUUUACACGGGAAGAUAAUGACUGUACCGGGAGAAUAAGCCCCGGCUAACUCCGUG